GGGUUGUGAGGUUAAGCGACUAAGCGUACACGGUGGAUGCCCUGGCAGUCAGAGGCGAUGAAGGACGUGCUAAUCUGCGAUAAGCGUCGGUAAGGUGAUAUGAACCGUUAUAACCGGCGAUUUCCGAAUGGGGAAACCCAGUGUGAUUCGUCACACUAUCAUUAACUGAAUCCAUAGGUUAAUGAGGCGAACCGGGGGAACUGAAACAUCUAAGUACCCCGAGGAAAAGAAAUCAACCGAGAUUCCCCCAGUAGCGGCGAGCGAACGGGGAGCAGCCCAGAGCCUGAAUCAGUGUGUGUGUUAGUGGAAGCGUCUGGAAAGGCGUGCGAUACAGGGUGACAGCCCCGUACACAAAAAUGCACAUAUUGUGAGCUCGAUGAGUAGGGCGGGACACGUGGUAUCCUGUCUGAAUAUGGGGGGACCAUCCUCCAAGGCUAAAUACUCCUGACUGACCGAUAGUGAACCAGUACCGUGAGGGAAAGGCGAAAAGAACCCCGGCGAGGGGAGUGAAAAAGAACCUGAAACCGUGUACGUACAAGCAGUGGGAGCACGCUUAGGCGUGUGACUGCGUACCUUUUGUAUAAUGGGUCAGCGACUUAUAUUCUGUAGCAAGGUUAACCGAAUAGGGGAGCCGAAGGGAAACCGAGUCUUAACUGGGCGUUAAGUUGCAGGGUAUAGACCCGAAACCCGGUGAUCUAGCCAUGGGCAGGUUGAAGGUUGGGUAACACUAACUGGAGGACCGAACCGACUAAUGUUGAAAAAUUAGCGGAUGACUUGUGGCUGGGGGUGAAAGGCCAAUCAAACCGGGAGAUAGCUGGUUCUCCCCGAAAGCUAUUUAGGUAGCGCCUCGUGAAUUCAUCUCCGGGGGUAGAGCACUGUUUCGGCAAGGGGGUCAUCCCGACUUACCAACCCGAUGCAAACUGCGAAUACCGGAGAAUGUUAUCACGGGAGACACACGGCGGGUGCUAACGUCCGUCGUGAAGAGGGAAACAACCCAGACCGCCAGCUAAGGUCCCAAAGUCAUGGUUAAGUGGGAAACGAUGUGGGAAGGCCCAGACAGCCAGGAUGUUGGCUUAGAAGCAGCCAUCAUUUAAAGAAAGCGUAAUAGCUCACUGGUCGAGUCGGCCUGCGCGGAAGAUGUAACGGGGCUAAACCAUGCACCGAAGCUGCGGCAGCGACGCUUAUGCGUUGUUGGGUAGGGGAGCGUUCUGUAAGCCUGUGAAGGUGUACUGUGAGGUAUGCUGGAGGUAUCAGAAGUGCGAAUGCUGACAUAAGUAACGAUAAAGCGGGUGAAAAGCCCGCUCGCCGGAAGACCAAGGGUUCCUGUCCAACGUUAAUCGGGGCAGGGUGAGUCGACCCCUAAGGCGAGGCCGAAAGGCGUAGUCGAUGGGAAACAGGUUAAUAUUCCUGUACUUGGUGUUACUGCGAAGGGGGGACGGAGAAGGCUAUGUUGGCCGGGCGACGGUUGUCCCGGUUUAAGCGUGUAGGCUGGUUUUCCAGGCAAAUCCGGAAAAUCAAGGCUGAGGCGUGAUGACGAGGCACUACGGUGCUGAAGCAACAAAUGCCCUGCUUCCAGGAAAAGCCUCUAAGCAUCAGGUAACAUCAAAUCGUACCCCAAACCGACACAGGUGGUCAGGUAGAGAAUACCAAGGCGCUUGAGAGAACUCGGGUGAAGGAACUAGGCAAAAUGGUGCCGUAACUUCGGGAGAAGGCACGCUGAUAUGUAGGUGAAGUCCCUCGCGGAUGGAGCUGAAAUCAGUCGAAGAUACCAGCUGGCUGCAACUGUUUAUUAAAAACACAGCACUGUGCAAACACGAAAGUGGACGUAUACGGUGUGACGCCUGCCCGGUGCCGGAAGGUUAAUUGAUGGGGUCAGCGCAAGCGAAGCUCUUGAUCGAAGCCCCGGUAAACGGCGGCCGUAACUAUAACGGUCCUAAGGUAGCGAAAUUCCUUGUCGGGUAAGUUCCGACCUGCACGAAUGGCGUAAUGAUGGCCAGGCUGUCUCCACCCGAGACUCAGUGAAAUUGAACUCGCUGUGAAGAUGCAGUGUACCCGCGGCAAGACGGAAAGACCCCGUGAACCUUUACUAUAGCUUGACACUGAACAUUGAGCCUUGAUGUGUAGGAUAGGUGGGAGGCUUUGAAGUGUGGACGCCAGUCUGCAUGGAGCCGACCUUGAAAUACCACCCUUUAAUGUUUGAUGUUCUAACGUGGACCCGUAAUCCGGGUUGCGGACAGUGUCUGGUGGGUAGUUUGACUGGGGCGGUCUCCUCCUAAAGAGUAACGGAGGAGCACGAAGGUUGGCUAAUCCUGGUCGGACAUCAGGAGGUUAGUGCAAUGGCAUAAGCCAGCUUGACUGCGAGCGUGACGGCGCGAGCAGGUGCGAAAGCAGGUCAUAGUGAUCCGGUGGUUCUGAAUGGAAGGGCCAUCGCUCAACGGAUAAAAGGUACUCCGGGGAUAACAGGCUGAUACCGCCCAAGAGUUCAUAUCGACGGCGGUGUUUGGCACCUCGAUGUCGGCUCAUCACAUCCUGGGGCUGAAGUAGGUCCCAAGGGUAUGGCUGUUCGCCAUUUAAAGUGGUACGCGAGCUGGGUUUAGAACGUCGUGAGACAGUUCGGUCCCUAUCUGCCGUGGGCGCUGGAGAACUGAGGGGGGCUGCUCCUAGUACGAGAGGACCGGAGUGGACGCAUCACUGGUGUUCGGGUUGUCAUGCCAAUGGCACUGCCCGGUAGCUAAAUGCGGAAGAGAUAAGUGCUGAAAGCAUCUAAGCACGAAACUUGCCCCGAGAUGAGUUCUCCCUGAGACUUUAAGUCUCCUGAAGGAACGUUGAAGACGACGACGUUGAUAGGCCGGGUGUGUAAGCGCAGCGAUGCGUUGAGCUAACCGGUACUAAUGAACCGUGAGGCUUAACCUUACAACGCCGAAGGUGUUU
rnacentral:rRNA from 1 species